UGCGUAGGCGGAUUAUUAAGUCAGUGGUGAAAGUUUACGGCUCAACCGUAAAAGUGCCAUUGAUACUGGUAGUCUUGAGUACAGUAGAGGUAGGCGGAAUUUGUGGUGUAGCGGUGAAAUGCAUAGAUACCAUAAAGAACACCGAUAGCGAAGGCAGCUUACUAUACUGAGACUGACGCUGAGGCACGAAAGCGUGGGGAGCGAACAGGAUUAGAUACCCUGGUAGUCC
rnacentral:rRNA from 1 species